rnacentral:rRNA from 1 species
GUCGAGCGGUAGCACAGAGAGCUUGCUCUCGGGUGACGAGCGGCGGACGGGUGAGUAAUGUCUGGGAAACUGCCUGAUGGAGGGGGAUAACUACUGGAAACGGUAGCUAAUACCGCAUAACGUCGCAAGACCAAAGUGGGGGACCUUCGGGCCUCAUGCCAUCAGAUGUGCCCAGAUGGGAUUAGCUAGUAGGUGGGGUAACGGCUCACCUAGGCGACGAUCCCUAGCUGGUCUGAGAGGAUGACCAGCCACACUGGAACUGAGACACGGUCCAGACUCCUACGGGAGGCAGCAGUGGGGAAUAUUGCACAAUGGGCGCAAGCCUGAUGCAGCCAUGCCGCGUGUAUGAAGAAGGCCUUCGGGUUGUAAAGUACUUUCAGCGGGGAGGAAGGCGAUAAGGUUAAUAACCUUGUCGAUUGACGUUACCCGCAGAAGAAGCACCGGCUAACUCCGUGCCAGCAGCCGCGGUAAUACGGAGGGUGCAAGCGUUAAUCGGAAUUACUGGGCGUAAAGCGCACGCAGGCGGUCUGUCAAGUCGGAUGUGAAAUCCCCGGGCUCAACCUGGGAACUGCAUUCGAAACUGGCAGGCUAGAGUCUUGUAGAGGGGGGUAGAAUUCCAGGUGUAGCGGUGAAAUGCGUAGAGAUCUGGAGGAAUACCGGUGGCGAAGGCGGCCCCCUGGACAAAGACUGACGCUCAGGUGCGAAAGCGUGGGGAGCAAACAGGAUUAGAUACCCUGGUAGUCCACGCCGUAAACGAUGUCAAUUUGGAGGUUGUGCCCUUGAGGCGUGGCUUCCGGAGCUAACACGUUAUAUCGACCGCCUGGGGAGUACGGCCGCAAGGUUAAAACUCAUAUGAAUUGACGGGGGCGCGCACAAGCGGUGGAGCAUGUGGUUUAAUU